rnacentral:rRNA from 1 species
GACGAACGCUGGCGGCAGGCCUAACACAUGCAAGUCGAGCGGAGCGGCGGACGGGUGAGUAAUGCCUAGGAAUCUGCCUGGUAGUGGGGGAUAACGUCCGGAAACGGGCGCUAAUACCGCAUACUAUCAGAUGAGCCUAGGUCGGAUUAGCUAGUUGGUGGGGUAAAGGCCUACCAAGGCGACGAUCCGUAACUGGUCUGAGAUGAUGAUCAGGCACAGUGGAACUGAGACACGGUCCAGACUCCUACGGGAUGCAGCAGUGGGGAAGAUUGGAUAAUGGGCGAAAGCCUGAUCCAGCCAUGCCGUGUGUGUGAAGAAGGUCUUCGGAUUGUAAAGCACUUUAAGUUGGGAGGCGUUACCAACAGAAGAAGCACUGGCUAACUGCGUGCCAGCCGCCGCGGGAAAC